GCAAGUCGAGCGCGAAAACACUUCGGUGUGAGUAGAGCGGCGGACGGGUGAGUAAUGCUUGGGAAUCUGCCCAAUAGUGGGGGAUAACCUGUGGAAACGCAGGCUAAUACCGCAUACGUCCUACGGGAGAAAGCAGGGGAUCUUCGGACCUUGCGCUAUUGGAUGAGCCCAAGUCGGAUUAGCUUGUUGGUGGGGUAAUGGCUCACCAAGGCAACGAUCUUUAGCUGGACUGAGAGGUCGAAC
rnacentral:rRNA from 1 species